rnacentral:rRNA from 1 species
AGAGUUUGAUUCUGGCUCAGAUUGAACGCUGGCGGCAUGCCUUACACAUGCAAGUCGAACGGCAGCAUGAUCUAGCUUGCUAGAUUGAUGGCGAGUGGCGAACGGGUGAGUAAUACAUCGGAACGUGCCCUGUAGUGGGGGAUAACUAGUCGAAAGAUUAGCUAAUACCGCAUACGACCUGAGGGUGAAAGUGGGGGACCGCAAGGCCUCAUGCUAUAGGAGCGGCCGAUGUCUGAUUAGCUAGUUGGUGGGGUAAAGGCCCACCAAGGCGACGAUCAGUAGCUGGUCUGAGAGGACGAUCAGCCACACUGGGACUGAGACACGGCCCAGACUCCUACGGGAGGCAGCAGUGGGGAAUUUUGGACAAUGGGUGAAAGCCUGAUCCAGCAAUGCCGCGUGUGUGAAGAAGGCCUUCGGGUUGUAGAGCACUUUUGUCCGGAAAGAAAUGGCUCUGGUUAAUACCUGGGGUCGAUGACGGUGCCGGAAGAAUAAGGACCGGCUAACUACGUGCCAGCAGCCGCGGUCAUACGUAGGGUCCAAGCGUUCAUCGGAAUUACUGUGCGUAGAGCGUGCGCAGGCGGUUGUGCAAGACCGAUGUGAGAUCCCCGAGCUUAACUUGGGAAUUGCAUUGGUGACUGCACGGCUAGAGUGUGUCAGAGGGGGGUAGAAUUCCACGUGUAGCAGUGAAAUGCGUAGAGAUGUGGAGGAAUACCGAUGGCGAAGGCAGCCCCCUGGGAUAACACUGACGCUCAUGCACGAAAGCGUGAGCAACAAACAGGAUUAGAUACCCUGGUAGUCCACGCCCUAAACGAUGUCAACUAGUUGUUGGGGUAUUCAUUUCCUUAGUAACGUAGCUAACGCGUGAAGUUGACCGCCUGGGGAGGCCGUCCAAGAUUAAAACUCAAAGAAUUGACGGGGGCCCGCCCAAGCGGGGGAUGAUGUGAUUAAUUCGGAUGCAACGCGAAAACCUUUACCUACCCUUGACAUGCCACUAACGAAGCAGAGAUGCAUUAGGUGCUCGAAAGAGAAAGUGGACACAGGUGCUGCAUGGCUGUCGUCAGCUCGUGUCGUGAGAUGUUGGGUUAAGUCCCGCAACGAGCGCAACCCUUGUCUCUAGUUGCUAGAAAGGGGCACUCUAGAGAGACUGCCGGUGACAAACCGGAGGAAGGUGGGGAUGACGUCAAGUCCUCAUGGCCCUUAUGGGUAGGGCUUCACACGUCAUACAAUGGUGCAUACAGAGGGUUGCCAAGCCGCGAGGUGGAGCUAAUCCCAGAAAAUGCAUCGUAGUCCGGAUCGUAGGCUGCAACUCGCCUGCAUGAAGCCGGAAUCGCUAGUAAUCGCGGAUCAGCAUGCCGCGGUGAAUACGUUCCCGGGGCCUUGUACACACCGCCCGUC